rnacentral:lncRNA from 1 species
ACCAUGUGUGAAUGCGACGAUACAUAUUACCAAUAGACAAGACAAUUUCCCCAACAUUUUCAGAACUUGAUAAACCAACUUUUUUCACUUCAAUGUUCUUUGUUUUAUGAUCCUCACACAACUGACAAGGAACAGUUGAAUGCCAACUUUUAUACUCUCUAAAAUCUUCCUGGAGAGAUAUUACUGACGUCAAGCCUCAUCACUUUGCCAAACCCAAACAUUAGCGGGAAACGCCAAAUUGUUUGGGACGUGCUUCAAAGUAUCGAGUUUCAAAAUCGUCGCGCCCUGCCUCUCGUAAAAACAGUUCCGUUGUACUUGAAAACAUCUGCUGUCAUCAUCGCUGUGAU